AUUUAUGGCGGGCUGUGUGGGGGAGCCGAAAGGCUCGCCGGUUUCCGUACCCGGUUACGCCAACCCUGCACAGUUCGCCACCAGU
ncrna:unclassified sequences C4 antisense RNA